GGAGGCGUCGCUUUCUAGUGUCUGUGGUGUCGGCGCUGCAGGAUGACGCGAGCCUCUCGCGUCCCUGGUUUUCUCGGUCGCAGCGUUGAGUUAUUGGGUGGAAAGGCAUCACCUUAGAGUCAACCUUCUUUGAAACCACUGUCUCAGAGAAAUCCCUCCAAGACACAGGUAAUUAGAGAGGGUAUGUGAACCAAGGAGCCAAUCAAAUUCUCCCACAUAAGAAUUUGGGACACAGAAGAUGAAGCUGAGGACCACAAGGAUUUAGAUACUGAUGCUAUUUCCAGCAGAUUAUACAUAUGGUUGAAAGACCAAAUUGCUUUAUUCCAAUCUAAAAUUUAUGGAGUGAUUCUACACUAAAGAUUGCACUGACAGCAUGGAUUCAGGCAUUCUAAAGUCACUGGAGCAGAUAAAUUGUCUGAGAAAGAAGUAGGUAUCAACAAUGGGCUUAAAAUAUUCAGUAAAUUGGAUCUGCUGACCAUAUGGCCAAACAGGAACAGCUCCAGUCUGCAGCUCCCAGCGAGAUCGACAUAGAAGAAAGGAAAAAGGAAGAAGCAGAGGGUCAGCAGAUGUUGAAAGAGGUAUAAUCAAGCUCAUACUCCAUUAAACAGAAAGCAAACUAAGAGCUGGAGAGAUGAAGAGACUUGGUCAACAUCAUACAUAUCUUUCAGCCAAGUUGCUUAAGAACAACAGUUGACUAGAACUGCACGUCUUCCUUCAAACACUGUCUACUGCAGAAUGCAAACAGGAACCUCUGGGAAUAUCUGUUUGGGUAUCAGGAUGAUGCUGGCCUCAGAAUGAGUUUGGAAGGAGUCCUUCCUCCUCAACAUUUUGGAAUAGUUGCAAAGGGAAUGGUACUAGCUCUUCUUUGUACAUUUGGAAGAAUUCAUCUGUGAAUCCAUCUGGUCCUGGGCUU
rnacentral:lncRNA from 1 species